rnacentral:rRNA from 1 species
AACGAACGCUGGCGGCAGGCUUAACACAUGCAAGUCGAGCGCCCCGCAAGGGGAGCGGCAGACGGGUGAGUAACGCGUGGGAACGUACCUCUUGGUUCGGAACAACUCCGGGAAACUGGAGCUCAUACCGGAUAAGCCCUAACGGGGAAAGAUUUAUCGCCGAAAGAUCGGCCCGCGUCUGAUUAGCUAGUUGGUGAGGUAACGGCUCACCAAGGCGACGAUCAGUAGCUGGUCUGAGAGGAUGAUCAGCCACACUGGGACUGAGACACGGCCCAGACUCCUACGGGAGGCAGCAGUGGGGAAUAUUGGACAAUGGGCGCAAGCCUGAUCCAGCAAUGCCGCGUGAGUGAUGAAGGCCUUAGGGUUGUAAAGCUCUUUUGUCCGGGAAGAUAAUGACUGUACCGGAAGAAUAAGCCCCGGCUAACUUCGUG